AAUUUUUCUCGUUCUAACAUUUCCUUCCAGGUUGCAAGCCUUUCCCGCCAAUUACCUACACUGUCUCCAAUUUCACCUAUCAUAGAAGAAUGCAAU